AGAGAGAGAGACAGAGUGCGAGUGAGGGAGGAGCAGAGAGUGAUGGAGACACAGAAUCUGAAGCAGGCUCCAGGCUCUGAGCUGUCAGCACAGAGCCUGAUGUGGGGUUCGAACCUUCAAACUGUGAGAUCGUGACCUGAGCCGAAGUUCGAUGCUUAACUGAGCCACCCAAGUGCCCCACCCUAAUUUAAUUUUUUAUUUAACUUAAUUUCUCAGUUUAGGAUUCCUGGGUCAAGCAAGGAGUAUACAUUCAGACCUCCUGUACACACUUAUCUCAGGCCUAGAAUUUCCAUUUUUCACGGGUGUUUUUCUUCCAUUCAAGUUUCCAGACAUACAAUAUGUCAUUUAUGGAUGCAACCAAACCCUGCUACAGCAGCCUAAGUGGGGAGAGUUUUGUUUUCCUAACAUAGCAGGAAGGCUGGAAAUAGUUAGAGAAGGGAAGAAAUACUUUCAGCCGGGUCUUCUUCCUCAAGCUCCCUGUAUCUUCGGGUCCCUCCACCCUCAAGGAGUGGCUUUUAUGCUUCUGCUUAUCUCUUGGUGGCAAGUGGGCUACUCCACUUCCAGCCUCACAGCCAUGGUCCUGGGAGGAAAAGGGAGAAGAAACAAGGAGGAAGGGAUGAUCUAUAGAUCAGGAAAAACAAGCUUUCCCAGAAAUCCCUUGCCUGCUCCUGCUUACAUCCUGUUGGCUAGAACUGUAACACGUGGUCACCCAGAGCCGCGUGGGAGGUAGGCUGUGCAGUGUAUGCAGAACACCUUGCCUUCCGUGUUUCUCUUCAUUUGUGUUCCUUGGAGAUUCCCCCUCUUCUUCGACGUGGCUGCUAAAACCCGUUUUUAUUGGUUUUAAAUCCAGAAUUUGUAUGCAUUUACUUAGGCUGUUGGGUUGCCUAAGGAGUCCUUCAUCUGUCUACAAGCUAUAGGAUUCGUUCAUUCAUCCACUGAACAGAUACUGAGUACCUGAGGUGGGGGACAGAUUUGACUUUAGUGGGGCUGCCGGAGUUAUACCCACUUUCCCCCUCUGGGUCCAGUUGGAAGUCCAGAGAGUAUAGUCUCUUCUCUCUUUCUCCAGCCUCCAAUGUCCACACCGGGGUUCCUUCCCAGAGAACUGUUGCCCUUGGUUUGGAAAGCAAUUCUGAGACCUGUAGCCGGGGACACAAUGCUCAAAACACAUAGGAGAGGGAGGGCACAAACUAGCCCAGCCAAUUUUUAGCCUUUAAUUAAUUACCCUGAUUAUUCGCUCCACUGUCCGUGGAAGCUCUCCAUACCUGCUGAGGGUCUCUCUGGGAGGAAUGGUUGCCAUCUCCACGGCGGCCGUCACUGGUGCCGGUUUCAAUCUGUGGUUUCCUUUGGCUUAUCCAUCAAUAGGAGCCCAUCUGCUUUCUUGUCUUUAAUGAAUUUGUAAAGUUUUCUAAUUGGCUGUUGGCACCCUUUCUUGUUUAAGUAUUAUUAUGGGAGCAUUAGUUUUUGUGUAUCAUCAUUUCAAUGGGAUUUGGGGAAGUAGGCUAAGUAAAUGUUUACGUGUAACUUGCAACCUUGAACCAGAAGUUCCCGAUAUGUGGUCAUGUAUCCUAUUUGCUCGGUAAUAAGCUUGGCACUAGCAAAGACAAGAGAAUCCAGCGUAACAUCUAGUUCUUCGUACCAGGCCUGUACUGUAGCCAGCUUGCACCGACUCACAAGACCGAUUGUUAAAAUUUUAGGAAUUUUACGGGUUGGUUGUCUUUGCUUUGGUAUCUCGAAAGAGAUCAUCGUAGGAGUGUUUAUACCGCUGAAGGCAGCAAACACUGUGGAUGGACACUAUGAACCAGCUCCCUCUCCUCCUUGAGAGCCGGUUGUUAAACAUUUAUCAGCACACCCGUAGUCUUCACUCUUGGGCAGCUUGAGAUGAGACAGACACUGAAGAAAAAGUGAGUCUGACUAAGAUAGCCAUCAAGUGUACAGCAGAGGAGUACAGACACUCCAGCUGCUAAGGAAGUCAGAGAGCAGAAAUCAUAGCUGACUGUCAUAGUUGAGAAGUUUGGCGACGUGACAGAGCAUUGGGCUCUUCGCGAGGAGUCUUGUCGUAAUUAAGAAAAUCCAGUGUCUGGCAUCUAUGUGGUGAAAUCAAAAGGCCCAGGAGACAGGACUGUAAGCACAGCGGAGGUUCUGCUUCCUGUUACCUCAUCACACUGGGAAAUGCCGUGCACUCACCUUUUGUCAGAAAUAUGAAGUUUUGGGGGCGCCUGGGUGGCUCGGUCGGUUGAGCAUCCGACUUCGGCUCAGGUCACGCUCUCACAGUUCAUGAAUUGGAGCCCCGCAUCGGGGUCUCUGCUGUCAGCCGGGAGCCCGCCAGAUCCUCUGUCCCCUUGUCUCUCUGGACCUCCUCGGCUCGUGCUGUCUCUCAAAAAUAAAAAUAAACGUUAAACAAAAUAAAUAAAUAAAGUUUUCCCCUUGGUAGUGUCUCAUCUCACUUAGGCCUCCCAUUUACCAUUUCCUAGGUUCCUGCAUUCCUUCUAAGUCUGCAAGAUUAUCACUACAUCCACACUCAAUUAGAAUAAAGAUCCGUGCACGAUAAAGGUAGCUUCCUUUCUUGUCCCCUUUUACCGCAGUUCCUUUCAGUUGAUUCAGCUGUCAUCUGCGCCCCAGAGCAGCUCGGAGCACGUGGUCAUAGACGCAUUACUCGGAGCACGUGGUCAUGGAACUCAUUAGUGUGUAGACAGCACCUGCAGCUCAGUCUUUAGCGCGUUCAUUCGGACGUUUCUGGAAGACAGUUAAAAACCAGCUUGUAGCAUGGCUCUGUGUUCAUAAAGAGAUCACCCUGUAGGGGACUAAUAAACAUAGCUAAUGUGUUAAUAGAUAAAUACGCUCAUUCAAUGUAUCUAGUUUUGUUUUGGAUUUAGUACCCUCCAAAGUUGUCUUCGAAUUGACGAGACAGUCAGCUUCUCCAGAUGGUCGGGAAACGGGAAGAAUUUGCGGGGAGUCAAAUGAUACUAAGAAGAUGUUAUAGCAACGAUGCUGGGGAAAAUGGUGGACAACGUAAAUCUAACAUGAAGACAUGUUAAGUCCCUGAGAGGGCUGGACGGCACACGUCAUCUCAUCUAAUUGUACCAGAGACCUAUCGUGAUGCGAUAGAAUCUUGGCCAUUCAAAUGAAGCAGAGCCAGCUGGCCAGCUUGGACGAAAAUCAUCUCAGUUCUCUCUCACCGCUGGCUUUAGAACGAAUCAAGUCCAGUUGGAAAGUAUUUCUUUCUGGAGGGAUUUGGAGCCUCGCACUAUAAAAAGGCAUAUGACGUGCGCCAUCUGAAUUGGACAGGUAUGAAACAUGCUAAAAAAAAUAAUAGUUACCAUCUGUUGAGCCCCUGACUUGUGCCACGCAUUGAGUUACAUGCUCAGGGUACGUUAUCUCUAAUUCAUGACUUCUUUCCACAAAUGUUUCUUGAGUGCCUUAUGUGCCAGGCUUUCUAGUUGCUGGGAAUACCACAGGUCACCGGGAAGAGGAAGUCUCUGCCUUUGGGGAACCACAUUCUUGUGGUUACAAGCAAGUGAGUAUAUAGUAUCAUUUCAGGUGAUGGUUAAGUGUUAUGAGGAACAGUAGAGCAGGGUAAAGACACAAAGCAGGAUUCUCUCUGUGUGUGUGUGUGUGGGGGGGGACAUUUUAUUUUACUUUUUAAUAUUAAAAAAAAGGUUUAUUUAUUUUUGAGAGAGAGAGGGAGAGAGAAAGAGAGUGUGAGUGGGGGAGGGGCAGAGAGAGAGAGGAGACAGAGGAUCUCAAGCAGGCUCUGCGCUGACAGCAGAGAGCCCGACGCGAGGCUGGAACUCACGACCUGUGAGAUCAUGAUCUGCGCUGCAGCCAGACGCUUAACCAACUGAACCACCCAGGCUCCUCUUUAAAAUUGUAUUUCUAGAUAGUCUCUACACUGAAUGUGGGUUGCAAACUCGUAAGCCCAAGCUCAAGAGUCACGUGCCUACCACUGAGCCAGCCAGGGGCCCCUGUAGGGGACAUUUUAGGGCAGGCCUCUCCAGAAGGAUGGAGAGGGGACCCAUGAGGUACGCAACUACCAGAGGAGGAAUGCCCCCAGGCAGAGAGAACAGCAAGAGAGACAGGCCGGUGUGAACCAUGUAGGGCCUUGAAGGGAAAAGAUCAGCUUUUCCGAUUUCAUUCUGAGGACAAUGGGAAGCUCUCCAGAAAUCCGGAGCUGGGGAGAGUUCUCUGGAAAGGGACUCUGAGCUGCAGAUCCACCCACAGGAGAAGUUCUCUCCUGGUUGUGAGCAUGUGAGAGAAGCAGGACAGGGGAGAUCACAAAGAUCUCAGCUGACCCGCCGGAGGCUCUAAGGUUGGAAUGACCCUUCAGAGUUUUCCCAGAUUGCGGCAAAGGGCUGGACCUUGUAAGCUGGCCUCAACCAAUUGAUGUCUCCUGACAGGGGUUUCAAAUCCCGGCAAGGCAGCCCCCUUCAGGGCUGACACCUGAGAGGUUUGCCGCUCUGGGCCACUGGCCGCCAACACCCCAGCCACUGGGGCCAUGACACCGCAGUCCCCAAAAGCGUACCUGGGUGGCACAUCCCCAGCACCCUCUAUAGAUCCCUUCAUGUUUUAAUGUUUUAAUUCUCUCAACACCCCUCCAAGCUAAGCGUUCUUCUUCUUUUUUUUAAUGUUUAUUUAUUUUUGAGAGACAGAGAGAGAGAAGUGAGCAGGGGAGGGGCAGCGAGAGAGGGAGACACAGAAUCCGAAGCAGGCACCAGGCUCUGAGCCAUCAGCACAGAGCCCGAUGCGGGGCUCGAAUCCUCGAACCGUGAGAUCAUGACCUGAGCCGAAGUUGGAUGCCCAACUGACUGAGCCACCCAGGCGCCCCCAACUUAAGCAUUCUUAUUUCGUCUCGGAGACCGAGAGAGCAACCUGUUGAAGGUCACAUACCUACCAGAUGUUGGAUUUGAACUUAGGUCUGAGUCCAAAGACCAGGUACUUAAAAAAAAACUGGUAAAAUACGCACACCGCACAACUCAUCAUUUUCGCUAUCUUUAAGUGAACAGCUCAGCAACAAGUACAUUCACUGUUGAUCAGCCAUCACCACCGUCCAUCUCUAAGAGCUUCUUUGAUCUUGCAGAACUGAAUCUCUGUACCCAUUAAACGAUAACAUAACAAUAACAUUGAUAUUAAACACAACUCCCCAUCCCUCUCUCCCUCCAGCCCCUGGAAACCAUCCUUCUACUUUCUGUCUCUAUGAAUUUGACAGCUCUGGGUACCU